rnacentral:rRNA from 1 species
UACGUAGGGUGCAAGCGUUGUCCGGAAUUAUUGGGCGUAAAGAGCUCGUAGGCGGUUUGUCGCGUCGGCUGUGAAAACUCGGGGCUCAACCCCGAGCCUGCAGUCGAUACGGGCAAACUAGAGUGUGGUAGGGGAGACUGGAAUUCCUGGUGUAGCGGUGGAAUGCGUAGAGACCGGCAGGAACACCCAGGGGGAAACCAGCCGGCUGGGGACGUGCUGACGCUCAGGGGCGAAAGCGUGGGGAGCGAACAGG